rnacentral:tRNA from 1 species
GCCGAAGUGGUGAAAUUGGUAGACACGUACGGUUCAGGGCCGUAUGGGGCAACCCAUGGGAGUUCGAGUCUCCCCUUCGGCA